AACCUGCUUGGGAAUCUCUCCCUCUCUCUCUCUCUGUCUCUCUGUUCCUCCCACUUGUGCACACGCACACACUCUCUCUCAAAAUAAAUUAAUAAACUUUGCAGUUUCCCCUUCAGCAUCCUAUUUAAUGCCUCUGUGACUGAGAGAGUGGAAUGUUGGUGGGUAGAUAGGAAGACCUUGGGGAUGUGACAGCAGGAUGAAUUGGGAACCCUCUGACCCUGCAACAGGAAGUGUGUGCCCAAGGGAGUACUCAUUCGUGAAAAGGAGGAAGCUGUGGGGCAGCUGGGGGCAGGCAAACUGGACAUUAGAGGCCUCUGUCUUCUCACCAGGACCUCUCAAGGCUGCAAGGGACUGAUGCACUCAUGCCUUGCACUGCAGCAGCAAUCUGGAUUUGUCCUAUUCAAAUGUUCAGCCACCUGAUGCCAUAGGUAACGUCCUGACAAAUCUCACACAGAAGGAAAUAGAACUUGUCAACUCUCCAAAAGGCCGUAUUCCUUCCGCUACCCUGCUCGACGCCGGUAGAUGUGCCCACUAAAUAGUAUCAACUACCUGCGUAGCUCGCUGCAAGAGUAGAAGCCACCAUUCUGCAAAGACCAAACGGGAGCUGGUGCUCACUUCCUUCUGGGAAAACGGUGUUGGUCUCUCAAUGGCCGGUUCUGUGAGAUGACCACCAGGUGGCAGUAGAUUUACACAGCCCCGUUUCAACCACCCGCCCUGCUCCCUACCCGCUCCCCCCCAUCUCCAGAAAUUUCUAAAUCUUCCUCCAGCUGGCCUAGCCAGCUAAUCCAACAAAUUAAUCUAUGCUCUGAUAAUGGGCAAAGGAGUUCAUGUGCUUCUCUCUAAAUAGCCUAUUUUCCAUUUAAUGGGAAUGCUAAGAUCAUUUUUAAAACCAAAUAAAGAAUGCUAAUAGGUGA